GUAAGGAAUAUUGGUCAAUGGACGCAAGUCUGAACCAGCCAUGCCGCGUGAAGGAUGAAGGUCCUCUGGAUUGUAAACUUCUUUUAUCUGGGACGAAAACGGGAUUUUUAUCUCAAUUGACGGUACCAGAGGAAUAAGCACCGGCUAACUCCGUGCCAGCAGCCGCGGUAAUACGGAGGGUGCGAGCGUUAUCCGGAUUUACUGGGUUUAAAGGGUGCGUAGGUGGGCUUAUAAGUCAGUGGUGAAAUCUCCGAGCUUAACUUGGAAACUGCCGUUGAUACUAUAGGUCUUGAAUUAUCUGGAGNUAAGCGGAAUAUGUCAUGUAGCGGUGAAAUGCUUAGAUAUGACAUAGAACACCAAUUGCGAAGGCAGCUUACUACAUAUAAAUUGACGCUGAGGCACGAAAGCGUGGGGAUCAAACA
rnacentral:rRNA from 1 species